UGGUAAUUGGGGUGAAGUCGUAACAAGGUAGCCGUAGGUGAACCUGCAGAAGGACA
rnacentral:misc_RNA from 1 species